GUGAAUCAUCGAAUCUUUGAACGCAAAUUGCACUCUCUGGUAUUCCGGAGAGUAUGCCUGUUUGAGGGUCAGUUUAAAUAAAAAUCGGUGCGGUUGCUGCCUUUCUUGGUUACGCAUCGGAUAUGCGUCGUCUUGCCUUCGUUUAAGCCAACUAAUAUUUUGCAUGAUUUGUUCGAACGUAUUUAAAUGAUUUUACGUACGUUUGCGAUAACGAAUAAUAGGUCGGGUCAUCCUCAUGAAUCACGCCUAUAAUUUCUCAUCAAAAUGACCCCAAAUCAGGA
rnacentral:misc_RNA from 1 species